rnacentral:rRNA from 1 species
CCUACGGGGGGCUGCAGUGGGGAAUAUUGGACAAUGGGGGCAACCCUGAUCCAGCCAUGCCGCGUGUGUGAAGAAGGCCCUCGGGUUGUAAAGCACUUUCAGAGAGGAAGAACGCCUGGUGGUUAAUACCCAUUAGGAAAGACAUCACUCACAGAAGAAGCACCGGCUAACUCCGUGCCAGCAGCCGCGGUAAUACGGAGGGUGCGAGCGUUAAUCGGAAUUACUGGGCGUAAAGCGCGCGUAGGUGGCUUGAUAAGCCGGUUGUGAAGCCCCGGGCUCAACCUGGGAACGGCAUCCGGAACUGUCAAGAUAGAGUGCAGGAGAGGAAGGUAGAAUUCCCGGUGUAGCGGUGAAAUGCGUAGAGAUCGGGAGGAAUACCAGUGGCGAAGGCGGCCCUCUGGACUGACACUGCCGCUGAGGUGCGAAAGCGUGGGGAGCAAACAGGAUUAGAUACCCCGGUAGUC